AUGCAGUCGACGCUGAAGCUUGGUGCUUGCACUGGGUGGAUGAGUGGCGAACGGGUGAGUAAUACGUGAGUAACCUGCCCUUGACUCUGGGAUAAGCCUGGGAAACUGGGUCUAAUACUGGAUAUGACCUCCUGUCGCAUGGUGGGGGGUGGAAAGGGUUUGUACUGGUUGUGGAUGGGCUCACGGCCUAUCAGCUUGUUGGUGGGGUAAUGGCCUACCAAGGCGACGACGGGUAGCCGGCCUGAGAGGGUGACCGGCCACACUGGGACUGAGACACGGCCCAGACUCCUACGGGAGGCAGCAGUGGGGAAUAUUGCACAAUGGGCGCAAGCCUGAUGCAGCGACGCCGCGUGAGGGAUGACGGCCUUCGGGUUGUAAACCUCUUUCAGCACGGAAGAAGCGAAAGUGACGGUACGUGCAGAAGAAGCGCCGGCUAACUACGUGCCAGCAGCCGCGGUAAUACGUAGGGCGCAAGCGUUGUCCGGAAUUAUUGGGCGUAAAGAGCUCGUAGGCGGUUUGUCGCGUCUGCUGUGAAAGCCCGGGGCUUAACCCCGGGUGUGCAGUGGGUACGGGCAGACUUGAGUGCAGUAGGGGAGACUGG
rnacentral:rRNA from 1 species